GAGCAGUCUGGAUUCUGGGAGACUUCGGCUGGAGAGAGACCCAAAGAUGGGCUGUUUCUGUUGGACAGGAUGGACAUCAUUGUGGCAUGUCAAGGACACAGUAAACCACUGCGGUCAUGUUGCAGAGAUGUGAUGACCCAUCUGCAUUCCAAGAGUUAAGACCAUUGACACAGAGAGGGAGACUGCCCUUUAAACCUGUGAGCACAUGGAGGAGGAAAAGCAACAACCUUGAUAAGAAGCCACUUCCAAGACCACCUUGACAUGCAUUCAUGCUGUCCAGAGUUCCCUGCAGCGCUGCGAUUCUUC